rnacentral:rRNA from 1 species
UACAGAGGAGCCAAGCGUUGUCCGGAUUGACUGGGCGUAAAACGCACGCAGGCGGUUUGGCGCGUGGGGUGUGAAAUCUGGCCGCUUAACGGCCAGGCGCCAUCCCAUACGGCUAACUGGCGAGUGAUGCAGAGGUCGGUGGAAUUGCCGGUGUAGUGGUGAAAUGCGUAGAGAUCGGCAGGAACACCCAGGGGGAAACCAGCCGACUG